rnacentral:rRNA from 1 species
UGGCGGCAUGCUUUACACAUGCAAGUCGAACGGCAGCGGGGGCUUCGGCCUGCCGGCGAGUGGCGAACGGGUGAGUAAUGCAUCGGAACGUGCCCAUGUCGUGGGGGAUAACGUAUCGAAAGGUACGCUAAUACCGCAUACGCCCUGAGGGGGAAAGCGGGGGAUUCUUCGGAACCUCGCGCGAUUGGAGCGGCCGAUGUCGGAUUAGCUAGUUGGUGGGGUAAAGGCCCACCAAGGCGACGAUCCGUAGCGGGUCUGAGAGGAUGAUCCGCCACACUGGGACUGAGACACGGCCCAGACUCCUACGGGAGGCAGCAGUGGGGAAUUUUGGACAAUGGGCGCAAGCCUGAUCCAGCCAUGCCGCGUGAGUGAAGAAGGNCUUCGGGUUGUAAAGCUC